GGCCUACCAUGGUGGUAACGGGUAACGGGGUGUUAGGGCACGACACCGGAGAGGGAGCUGAGAAACGGCUACCACAUCCAAGGAUGGCAGCAGGCGCGCAAAUUACCCAAUCCCGACACGGGGAGGUAGUGACAAUAAAUAACAAUACGGGGUUCUUUAGGAUUUCGUAAUUGGAAUGAGUACAAUUUAAAUCUCUUAACGAGGAACAAUUGGAGGGCAAGUCUGGUGCCAGCAGCCACGGUAAUUCCAGCUCCAAUAGCGUAUAUUAAAGUUGUUGCAGUUAAAAAGCUCGUAGUUGAAUUUCGGGAUCAAUAUGUUGGUCGUGCCUCGGUACGUACUAGCUUAUUGGUUUCUCCUUUCUGAAGAACCAUGAUGUCAUUUAUUUGGUGUCGUGGGGAAUCAGGACUGUUACUUUGAAAAAAUUAGAGUGUUUAAAGCAGGCUCACGCUUGAAUACAUUAGCAUGGAACAAUGAAAUAGGACGUUUGAUUCUAUUUUGUUGGUUUUUAGGAUCGACGUAAUGAUUAAUAGGGAUAGUUGGGGGCAUUAGUAUUCAAUUGUCAGAGGUGAAAUUCUUGGAUUUAUUGAAGACUAACUACUGCGAAAGCAUUUGCCAAGGAUGUUUUCAUUAAUCAAGAACGAAAGUUAGGGGAUCGAAGACGAUCAGAUACCGUCGUAGUCUUAACCAUAAACUAUGCCGACUAGGGAUCGGAUGAUGUUAAUUUUUUAAUGACUCAUUCGGCGCCUUACGGGAAACCAAAGUGUUUGGGUUC
rnacentral:rRNA from 1 species